UUCAUCAUAUUUCCAUAUUCAAAUUCCAUGUUACACUUCAUGUGUUAUCCAUAGUCCAAAAGAUACCUGAAAAUCAAGAGAAAAGCAAUGAAAGUGAGGGAUGAACAACAACAGUAGAUCAGCUAACUCAGCAAAACUAGCUUCUUUCAAAACAAAUUAAACACAGACGAGCCUAGUUCUUUGGAUCCUUUUUUAAAAUUCUGACUAUAAGGGAACUCAAAGAACAAAAUCAAGCAAGUUUCACACCAUUUUCAGUAUUUUCAAAGUCUGAAAGAGAAGGCUCAGCCGUUUCUAAAUUUCAAUCUUGCAAUCCUCCAAAAAUUCUCCCUUGGCAAUGAAGGAAACAUGCCUUUUAUAGAAAACCUUUAGGGCAGCAGAAAUAAUUUCUAUUUUUACCAAAUCAGUCAUUCCCCCAAUUUUCAUUCUUUCAUUUUAAGCCUUGAAUUUCUAAACCAACUACUGAACUAACCCAAACCCCACUUUCCUGGAAGUUUCCUAUUCAGUUUUUUUAAAGAUUCCCCUUGCCCAAUUUCCUAGACUACCCUUUAGACCCCUCCCAAUUACCUUUAAGCCCAGUUGGGCUCGAAAACUCUUUAAUCAAACUGAAAAUCUCAAAAACCCCGCAACCCCUUAGGCCUUGAUGCUGAAGGGCCUGUCUGUAUGCAAGGCAGGCCCCAAGCCAAACGGAGCCCAAAUCAAGACCAAACCUGGGUCAAAUUGACCCAACAAACAAACCAAAACCCUGAGCUUGCAAACCCGGACUGACCCUCCCCUCUUUGGGCCUUUAACUUACGAAACCCAAAGUUUUGAUUCCAAAACCCACAAAAGCCAAUCAAGAAACUGGGCCAACAGAGUAAUGAAAACUUUUGAAGCCAGGAAUCCAAAGAAAACAAAAUAGGAGGGAAAUUGAGCGAAGUCCAACAACAAAAUCAAAGAAACUAAAACAAUGCUGACUAAAAAUAACAUAAAAUCAGUAUGAAUGCAAAAACGAUUUGAAAAACAGAAAAAACAAGAAAGAAAAAGAAAAAAACAGAGGAAGAUGAGAAAUGAGAAUACAACGAAAGAUGAAAGAAAAAAAAGGGCCAAAAAAUACCUAGAAUAACGUGAUGGACAGUGGACUUGGACAGAUCUUCCAACGCCUUCGAUUUUGAGCCAGAAUUGGCAUUGAUCGUGUGUCCUUGUUGAAGACAGACGAGUAACACCAAUUUUAACCCUAAUCGUUCAAGGAAAAUUCGAAUUUUUGGAAAGAUUUUCUUUAUCUUCUGCUUUUUCUUUUAGAUCCGAAAUUGGUUAGAUUUGAGGAGAUGUGGUUAUGGAUUGGGAGUCAGGGGUGAGUGGGGGUUGUGUGGUCGAAGUUUGGGAUGGAUUGGGCUCCGCCGCCGGCCGUUGGAGGCUCAGGAAUUUGGAGGCGGUGGGCUAGGGUUUUUGAACUUGGGGGAGAUGAAGUGAAGAAGGUACAUAGGAUAAACUGAAGGGGUUUGGACACUUUAAUUGAAAUAGGG
rnacentral:lncRNA from 1 species